rnacentral:rRNA from 1 species
AACCCUGAGAAACCCGAAAGGUCGAAAGGGGAAAUUCAUUCGCGUUUCGAUUUCGAAGUUUAACGAUAGUGCCACGGAUAGCGUACGCGUUGUCCGAGCUUUCGUUUUACGUAUAAUCGAGGUCGAACGCGUGCACUUUUCCUCUAGUAGGACGUCGCGAUCCGUUGGGCGUCUGUCUAAGAUCCGUGGUGGAGCUCACGUGGCGAUUUUCGUCGUGUGAACACCUGCGGAUAAUCCGACAGACACGCUCGACGGUAUACUGAUGGCGCGAGGCCGCUAAUUUUAGCGUUCGGCCCGUAGCAAGCACGUUCUGUGUUUUGACGGCAAUCUCGGACCUAGUGCCGAUUCCGUCCCGGAACGACUGUUGGUUGCGGUGUUCUCGAACAGACCUCGUUUUAAUGCCGAUCAGCGACGCUAUAGCUUUGGGUACUUUCAGGACCCGUCUUGAAACACGGACCAAGGAGUCUAGCAUGUGCGCGAGUCAUUGGGACAUAACAAAACCUAAAGGCGUAAUGAAAGUAAAGGUUUACCUUGCGUAGACCGAGGGAGGAUGGGUAGUUCCGAAAGUGACUAUCCCGCACUCCCGGGGCGUCUCGUUCUCAUUGCGAGAAGAGGCGCACCAAGAGCGUACACGCUGGGACCCGAAAGAUGGUGAACUAUGCCUGGUCAGGACGAAGUCAGGGGAAACCCUGAUGGAGGUCCGUAGCGAUUCUGACGUGCAAAUCGAUCGUCGGAACUGGRUAUAGKGA